rnacentral:rRNA from 1 species
ACUCCUACGGGAGGCAGCAGUGGGGAAUUUUCCGCAAUGGGCGCAAGCCUGACGACGCAACGCCGCGUGGGGGAUGAAGGUCUUCGGAUUGUAAACCCCUGUCGAACGGGACGAAUGGCCCCUGAGUUAAUACCUUGGGGGAUUGACGGUACCGUUAAAGGAAGCCACGGCUAACUCUGUGCCAGCAGCCGCGGUAAU